AGUAGAGUGGCUGAGAUUAUUAAGGUGGUAGAUUGUAAAUCUAUUAAGGGGGGUUUCCCCUCUACUA
rnacentral:tRNA from 1 species